rnacentral:rRNA from 1 species
GACGAACGCUGGCGGCGUGCUUAACACAUGCAAGUCGAACGGAAAGGCCCUGCUUUUGUGGGGUGCUCGAGUGGCGAACGGGUGAGUAACACGUGAGUAACCUGCCCUUGACUUUGGGAUAACUUCAGGAAACUGGGGCUAAUACCGGAUAGGAGCUCCUGCUGCAUGGUGGGGGUUGGAAAGUUUCGGCGGUUGGGGAUGGACUCGCGGCUUAUCAGCUUGUUGGUGGGGUAGUGGCUUACCAAGGCUUUGACGGGUAGCCGGCCUGAGAGGGUGACCGGCCACAUUGGGACUGAGAUACGGCCCAGACUCCUACGGGAGGCAGCAGUGGGGAAUAUUGCACAAUGGGCGGAAGCCUGAUGCAGCAGCGCCGCGUGCGGGAUGACGGCCUUCGGGUUGUAAACCGCUUUCGCCUGUGACGAAGCGUGGGUGACGGUAAUGGGUAAAGAAGCACCGGCUAACUACGUG